rnacentral:rRNA from 1 species
CGCGUGAGGAACCUGCCUCAAAGAGGGGGACAACAGUUGGAAACGACUGCUAAUACCGCAUAAGCCCACAGCUCGGCAUCGAGCAGAGGGAAAAGGAGCAAUCCGCUUUGAGAUGGCCUCGCGUCCGAUUAGCUAGUUGGUGAGGUAACGGCCCACCAAGGCAACGAUCGGUAGCCGGACUGAGAGGUUGAACGGCCACAUUGGGACUGAGACACGGCCCAG